GUAGGUGAACCUGCGGAAGGAUCAUUAACACGUGUUUACACGUUUUAACUCACCCUUUUCUAUCAAUUACCAAUGAGAACUUGUUUUCCGCCGCCCCUUCGGUAGAAUGAAUGGGAAUCAGAUUCCAGGUAGUGAAUGGGCCCGCAAGGGCAGCCUGGCUGUACAUACUGCUCUCUUCUCUCUUUCGAGAGCGAGGAGAGCGACCAUUGCAUCUAUGUCAUAAGAAGGGCUCCCCCCUCUAGGAGUUCAC
rnacentral:misc_RNA from 1 species